CAUAUUUGUGCUCCUUCACGGGAGGGCAGGGAGGUUCAACGGACCUUAAAACAUGAAGGUCUUUUUUCUGUUUGCUGUUCUCUUUUGUUUGGUCCAAACAAACUCAGGGGAUGUUCCACCGGGAAUUAGAAAUACCAUCUGCCAUAUGCAGCAAGGGAUCUGCAGACUUUUUUUCUGCCAUUCUGGUGAGAAAAAGCGUGACAUUUGCUCUGAUCCCUGGAAUAGGUGUUGCGUAUCAAAUACAGAUGAAGAAGGAAAAGAGAAACCAGAGAUGGAUGGCAGAUCUGGGAUCUAAAAUAUAAGCUCCCGGAAGGCAGGGAUGUUGAAGUAUCCCAAGGGCUUAAAGGAAUGUGUGGCUUAUAGUAGGUGUUCAAUAAAUAUUUGUUGAAUGAAUUUAGCACCAAAGGUGAAGAGCUGAUAAAAGACAUUUUUUUAACUUCCUUA
rnacentral:lncRNA from 10 species